rnacentral:rRNA from 1 species
CAAGAUUUCCGUAGGUGAACCUGCGGAAGGAUCAUUAAAGAGUAAGGGUGCUCAGCGCCCGACCUCCAACCCUUUGUUGUUAAAACUACCUUGUUGCUUUGGCGGGACCGCUCGGUCUCGAGCCGCUGGGGAUUCGUCCCAGGCGAGCGCCCGCCAGAGUUAAACCAAACUCUUGUUAUUAAACCGGUCGUCUGAGUUAAAAUUUUGAAUAAAUCAAAACUUUCAACAACGGAUCUCUUGGUUCUCGCAUCGAUGAAGAACGCAGCGAAAUGCGAUAAGUAAUGUGAAUUGCAGAAUUCAGUGAAUCAUCGAAUCUUUGAACGCACAUUGCGCCCCUUGGUAUUCCGAGGGGCAUGCCUGUUCGAGCGUCAUUACACCACUCAAGCUAUGCUUGGUAUUGGGUGCCGUCCUUAGUUGGGCGCGCCUUAAAGACCUCGGCGAGGCCUCACCGGCUUUAGGCGUAGUAGAAUUUAUUCGAACGUCUGUCAAAGGAGAGGACUUCUGCCGACUGAAACCUUUAUUUUUCUAGGUUGACCUCGGAUCAGGUAGGGAUACCCGCUGAACUUAAGCAUAUCAAUAAGCGGAGGAAA